AGUUCUGAUGCACCGCGAAACGAAUUUGCAGGUGGAGAACGAGGAGACAAUCGAGGCACUCAGUGCCCGGCCCGGAAAAGCGCUGUUGGACGAAAUCCAACAGCGCUUUUUA
rnacentral:ncRNA from 1 species